rnacentral:misc_RNA from 1 species
CCACUUUCCUUCUCUGGAGCUCGUCCCGAUGACAUCGUCCUUGCUGCUGAUACGGUGUUGAACAACUAACCGUAGAACUUUGAAGAAGAGAUCAUGGUGAGUAGUGUCCUUGCGUGGUGUUGCCAUGACAGCAGUGACUACAGAUGCUGGUGGGACUAGCUACAGAAGGUCGGCCAUUCAAGCAGCGACUGACGUCAGCCAUACCUGGUCACAACGCUGGUCAGCAGCGACUGACGUCAGCCAUACCUGGUCACAACGCUGGUCAGCAGCAACUGACGUCAGCCAUACCUGGUCACAACGUUGGUCAGCAGCGACUGACGUCAGCCAUACCUGGUCACAACGCUGGUCAGCAGCGACUGACGUCAGCCAUACCUGGUCACAACGCUGGUCAGCAGCGACUGACGUCAGCCAUACCUGGUCACAACGCUGGUCAGCAGCGACUGACGUCAGCCAUACCUGGUCACAACGCUGGUCAGCAGCGACUGACGUCACUCUUGCUCGGUCACAACGCUGGUCAGCAGCGACCACCUUCAGCCACAUCUGGAUACAAUGGAGGCCGGCACAAACACCCGUCAGCCAUGUCCAGUCACACUUCUGGUCAGCAGCAACCGCAGUGCCUAUUACAACAGGCCACGUGCUGGGGCGGAGGAGCAGCCGAUGGAGGGCCGCGUGCAAAUCUUGUGGCCACUGAUGGCGAUGGACAAGACCGCGCGACAUCCGCGGCUGACGAAAUGAACUCCUCGCUCCAGGAGGCGAAGGCUGGCGCUGACGUCCAUGCUGACCUUGACCCAUCACCUGUGUCAGGUGCGAACCUCAGUCGCGGUCUUCCUUCCCAAGUGGAGUCGGCGGUUACACCCGUCAGCCAGGAGCCUGGUUCUCAGGAGGUCAUCUCGGCUCAAGCCCAGACCUUCUGGCUCCAGUGGGUGGAGGCCGCCUUCCCUGAUCUCGACAAGCAAGUCUACUUCCUGCCGCCUGUCUACAUCAACCGCGUGCACGUGACAACACGGGAUGCUGCCGGUCAGGAAGUUCAGGUCCUUGAACCAGCACCUGGGCAGGCCGGACAGUCCAGCCAACCGACACCACCCAAGGCAACCGGACAGUCCAGCCAGCCGACACCACCCAAGGCGACCGGACAGUCCAGCCAUCCGACACCACCCAAGGCGACCGGUCGGUGCAACCACCCGACAACGAAUCCAGUCACUCCGGGUACUCCUCUGUCGGUCGUCGAAGACAGCGAUGUGAGAGACGAUGCGGCCAUGCAGCGCGUGCUGUUCUGUCUGCAGAAAAUGUUUGAGCGAAACGGAGAAGUGCUGGUUGGACUGAGCCAUCUUGAGUUCAGACACUACCUGAGUGAACCUGCCUAUGCUGCCGCGGUGGCCCCCCUACCUUUGCCCUCCAGUCUCCCUCGCUUCUGGAGACGAGGAGACUUCGACGUGCUUCUCAUUCACCGACAUCAUGGCUUUGUCGUCUGCGAGGUGAAGGCUUUUGGCGACAAUGUGGAAAAGCUGCAGAUGUCUCGGCAAGACAUCGACUCUAAUAUCAGCAAGAAAAUGUCCGAGGCCGUCACACAGCUGAAGAAGGCGGAGGCCAUGUUGUCUCACCUGGUGUCCGACAUCGCUCCCGGUCUGCGCAUCACUAAGACCAUCGCCUUCCCCAACCUCUCGGCUCAUCAGCUACAACAGGCCAUCUCUCAGGACACCCGGAUGACUCAGGACCUGUGUCGGUGUCUGGGAGCGUCAAAUGUCGCCGACAUCCCAGGACUGUGUCUGUGCUCUGACCAGUUGUCUGACCCCAAGACCCCGUGUGACGUCAGUGGUCACGUGCUGAGGCAACUGGGACACUGGUGGCAGCGACGCGUGGCCGGGGCUGGACCUGACAGUCACAUGACUUGUCACCUGUACAAGACGCUGGUAGCCAGGUUCUGUGGUCCGGCCACAACAGUGACUGUGCCGUGCACGUCUGUGCCACACCUGCAUGUCAAGACCCUGGGUCAGGCCGUGUGGUUGACAGGUGAGUGCUACACAGCUCGGAUUACACUCUUCCCGGAACAAGUUCACCUGCUGAACACGGCGUUUGCUCGAGUCUUUCUGGCCGGACCCCCCGGCACAGGUAAGACCGUGGUGCUGCAGCUGAAGGGCAGGGAGUGGCUGUGGCGGGGUCACCAGGUGUACAUAGUCAGCACCUGGUGGGGGAGUCGUGCAGCGUGCAGCCUGCUGUACCACCUGCUGCAGCAGUCUGUCGACACACAGUCACCUGCACAACCUACACGUAGCCUCGUCCGUCUCCGCCAAUAUGAUUUCAACCUCGAGAAGGAAGUGGACAAGGCCGUCAACGACUUGUCAGAGGCGGCGAGGUCAGGGGUCGUGUAUGUCAUCGCUGAUGAGGCGUGUGACAGGCCAAACUUCCAGAUCUUUUGCUGCCAACUGUUGGCACGGGUACCUGGGGUGCACCUGUGGGCGGCGAGCUGUUACCACGUGCAGGUACCCGCCCACUGGCGUGUGGAGAGUUUGACCAGACCCCUCCGCUCUCCCCCGGCCGUGGUGAGGGAGGUGGAGCAGGAUGAGUUUAUCACCAAGCAUCGCAUUGUGCAGACCUACAGUCAGCGGGGUGUCCCCGACCGGACAGACGGCCCGCCCAUCAGGCGACUGAGUCACCGAGGUGAGGGUCACUCGGAGAGACCCAUACACACCUGUGUGGAGUGCGGUGCUGAGGUGGCCACCUUCCUCUUCAAGCUCCGUGCAGGUGUCCCGGCCACUAUGGGAGGCGAACCACCACCCCUCUGCCUCAAGUGGAGUGACGUGUUGUUGCUGUAUGACUGGGGUGACAUCACCGAAGACUCGGGUAUUGUGACGGGACUGAGAGAAGCGGGUAUCCCAGUGCGGGUGAUGAAGGAUGACGACAUCGAGGACGUGGCCACGGCCCGCAGUGACGUGGUGUGGGUGGCCAAUGGACACCAUGUUCGUGGACUGGAGAGAAAAGUCGUGGUGUGUCUGGAGAGAGUCGAUGUUAACCCGAAUGUUCGUCUUCAUUUUGUGUCUCGCUGUACGUCACAACUGGUCAUUCUCUCCCCUGAUGACUAGCGUGGAGCUGUCUAGUGGUUACAACACUCCAUCGUCCUCACGGAAGUGACAAUUGAAAGGUGCUGGAUUCCGAUCUCGUCUCGGGACACUCUCUGCAUGUGACACUUGUUCACAAAGGUGGCUGCCGGGGUAUUUCUAUGUUUACUCUGGUUAUCCCCCCACUUCCAUCAUCGCGCUCUUCUCGUAGGUUAAAGUCUCUUCUAACGGGAGGCACGUACUCUCCUGCCAAACCAACCAGACAAGCAGCCCACCUAACCAAAACCCCUCCCCUAACACCAAACACACCAUAAAACUGAAUCUGCAUCUGGGGGAGGGAGCAGCUUGAAUGCGUGUGGAGGAGUGUAUACAGGUGUCACAGUAAUGAGCAAGUGCCUGAGGUCAGGUGUUUGUAACAGCGGACUAUGGUGUUGACACCACAUCUUGUCUCCAUUGUGAAUGGGUGCAACGGUUCCCUGCAAUGACAUCCCUACCUUGUGUCGAGAUACCAAGCUCAAGUCACUUCACUCUCAGCCAGUACACACAAAAUAUUUUGUCACCAAGGUUGAUGUACUUGGUGGGGUGUGGGUGACAACUCAUCCGUCCUUCCGUCCGUCUGCUUGUCCGCCCUCCCCCUGCUCACUCACUGCUCUGCCGAGGGCAGGAACUCAGAACAAGGAAACAGUCGACACUUGAGGCCACGUGGCUAAAGGACAAGAGGAAAGGAAGAGUUCAAAUGUGAAACAGGGAAGCGGCGACAGCGAAGUGUCAUGUCACCAAACACCAAGUGGUGAACAAAGAUGUGGUACAGAUAGAGGAUGUCCUUCAAUGAAGCCGGAUGCAAUGCAAUCAGCUCGUCAGUAUAAGCUGAGAUCUCUAUGCCUACAGAUGAUGAUGUAGGUAUUCCUGGCCUCAGGAUCCACAAGCGGAUGAAGCUCGACCCAAGUGUUCUUGGUGCAAGUCCGCGGUGGUGUAGUGAGACAUAAAUAUAGAGAAAUGCAACAUACAAACAGCAGUUUUGGAACUUGCUAGGGCGUAGAUUAACUACUAAAACGAGGCAGUUGUGUACAAAGCUUCCGGUUUAG